UACAGCCAUAUCAUUUUGAAACACCUAUUUCCGUACAAUCACCAAAGUUAAGCAACAUUGAACCUGGUCAGUACCUAGAUGGGUGACCACUUGAGAAUACCAGGUACUGU